GGUAUAGACCCGAAACCCGGUGAUCUAGCCAUGGGCAGGUUGAAGGUUGGGUAACACUAACUGGAGGACCGAACCGACUAAUGUUGAAAAAUUAGCGGAUGACUUGUGGCUGGGGGUGAAAGGCCAAUCAAACCGGGAGAUAGCUGGUUCUCCCCGAAAGCUAUUUAGGUAGCGCCUCGUGAACUCAUCUUCGGGGGUAGAGCACUGUUUCGACUAGGGGGUCAUCCCGACUUACCAACUCGAUGCAAACUACGAAUACCGAAGAAUGUUAUCACGGGAGACACACGGCGGGUGCUAACGUCCGUCGUGAAGAGGGAAACAACCCAGACCGCCAGCUAAGGUCCCAAAGUCAUAGUUAAGUGGGAAACGAUGUGGGAAGGCAUAGACAGCCAGGAUGUUGGCUUAGAAGCAGCCAUCAUUUAAAGAAAGCGUAAUAGCUCACUGGUCGAGUCGGCCUGCGCGGAAGAUGUAACGGGGCUAAACUAUGCACCGAAGCUGCGGCAGCGACAC
rnacentral:rRNA from 1 species